CGAACGCUGGCGGCGUGCUUAACACAUGCACGUCGAGCGGUAAGGCCUUUCGGGGUACACGAGCGGCGAACGGGUGAGUAACACGUGGGUGAUCUGCCCUGCACUUCGGGAUAAGCCUGGGAAACUGGGUCUAAUACCGGAUAUGACCUCCUAUCGCAUGGUGGGUGGUGGAAAGAUUUAUCGGUGCAGGAUGGGCCCGCGGCCUAUCAGCUUGUUGGUGGGGUAAUGGCCUACCAAGGCGACGACGGGUAGCCGACCUGAGAGGGUGACCGGCCACACUGGGACUGAGACACGGCCCAGACUCCUACGGGAGGCAGCAGUGGGGAAUAUUGCACAAUGGGCGAAAGCCUGAUGCAGCGACGCCGCGUGAGGGAUGACGGCCUUCGGGUUGUAAACCUCUUUCAGCAGGGACGAAGCGCAAGUGACGGUACCUGCAGAAGAAGCACCGGCUAACUACGUG
rnacentral:rRNA from 1 species